UACGUAUGGUGCAAGCGUUAUCCGGAUUUACUGGGUGUAAAGGGAGCGCAGGCGGCGCGUUAAGCCUGGUGUGAAAGCCCGCGGCCCAACCGCGGGACUGCAUUGGGAACUGGCGCGCUGGAGUGCCGGAGGGGUAGGCGGAAUUCCUAGUGUAGCGGUGAAAUGCAUAGAUAUCACGCAGAACGCCGAUUGCGAAGGCAGCAUACCGGCGCUCAACUGACGCUGAGGCACGAAAGUGCGGGUAUCGAACAGG
rnacentral:rRNA from 1 species